UACAGAGGGUGCAAGCGUUAAUCGGAGUUACUGGGCGUAAAGGGCGCGUAGGCGGUUGUUUAAGUGAGAUGUGAAAUCCCUGGGCUUAACCUAGGAAUUGCAUUUUAGACUAGAUGACUGGAGUACAGUAGAGGGUAGCGGAAUUUCCGGUGUAGCGGUGAAAUGCGUAGAGAUCGGAAGGAACAUCAGUGGCGAAGGCGGCUACCUGGACUGAAACUGACGCUGAGGCGCGAGAGCGUGGGGAGCAAACAGG
rnacentral:rRNA from 1 species